AUGCCCCUUUCAACAUUAUUUGUGCCUUUGCAGAGAUAUUCAGCAACAUCAUUUUUUGGCAAGAGGCUUUUUUCAGAUGAUUAUGUUGAAGAUGAUGAUCAAAAAGGAACUAAAGAGCAACCAAUCCCUGUGUCUCCGGAUGUUCAAGUUUUGGGGGAGAGAUCAUUCAAUGGUUCAUGCUCUAGUAUGGUAAACACGGCAGACAACUUAUACAACACGAAGCUUUCUUUAGGAUCUUCAUCAAGAGGUAAAGAGAAUUUGCCUCCAAAAAGGAUAAUACAGCCAAGCAAGUUUCUCUGCUCUCCAUAUGAUCACAAUGAGAGAGGACCUCUUCAGCCACAUGAGAUAGAACUACACAAGGGAAUAGUGGCACUUAGCAAAGUUGAACCUCACAGAAGCCAAGUUGUUGUGUUGAUUGAUAAAACCACCCUUUUCCUUGGACAACUCGGUGAUUCAUUUGAUGCGGCUGGUCAUGUGGAAGCUUAUGUUUUCAACGUUUUUUGUCGGAUCCUGUUUCGAGAAAAUCAUCCAAGGAGGUCAAAAAGACACUACUUCUUCACUACACUAGGUGAUUAUUUUCUUGGGAAUUGGUCCUCUGAAGAAGGAAGGAGGGACAUGAGGAGAAAAGCACUCAGAAGCUUCAAUGGAGCUGGAAAAGCAUUGCCUCUACAUGAAAGUGAACGUAUGUUCUUUUCGUCAGUUCAUGGUGAGCAUUGGUUCUUAUUCAUUGUCGACAUUAUAGCAAGAAAAUUUGUCUUCCUAGAUUCAUAUUAUGAAGGGAACACACCAUUCCAUAUCGGGAUCAGAGAUUUGAUGAUAAACAAUUUCAUAAAAACAUGGGAAGAAUCUAAUCUGAGAGGGAUGGGUUUCAGAAAGUUUGGUGUAGAGUACCCAAACAUGCCAAAGCAAAUAGGAAGCGACGCAUGUGGGAUUUUUGCUCUUAAGUGGAUGCAAACUUGGGCUCCACGAAAUCCUCUGCAGCGACAGUUCACGAUGAACGACGUAGCAGACGCAAGGGUCAGAUUUGCUGUUGACACUCUAUUUAGUAUUCACAACACAGAGGAUAAAGGCAAAGCACUAGUCAAGAACUUCGCAUGGUAA
rnacentral:rRNA from 1 species